rnacentral:rRNA from 1 species
CAGGGGGCCCGAGCGUUAUCCGGAUUUACUGGGCGUAAAGCGUGCGUAGGUGUCUUGUUAAGUCUUCGGUGAAAUCUCCGGGCCCAACCCGGAACCCGUCGAAGAAACUGGCAGGAUUGAGUCUGACAGAGGCAGAUGGAAUUUGUGGUGUAGCGGUAAAAUGCGUAGAUAUCACAAAGAACACCAGUGGCGAAGGCGAUCUGCUGGGUCAGUACUGACACUGAGGUACGAAAGCGUGGGGAGCGAACGGGAUUAGAUACCCCGGUAGUCCACGCCGUAAACGAUGGGUGCUAGGCAUUCGGGGUAUAGAUCCCCUGGGUGUCGCAGCUAACGCGAUAAGCACCCCGCCUGGGGAGUACGGUCGCAAGACUA